rnacentral:misc_RNA from 1 species
AUAUGGGUUAUCAGUCAUUUGCUGUGAAUCCUGUCUCCAUCUGGUGAUAAGAGAUUAAUUGUCUUCCUUGUUUAAAACAAGCUGGCGAAGGCUGGAGAACAGAUAAUUCGAUUUUUUGUCAGUACCUGACCUGUGUAAGAUGAGGUCUGCUGUCUAUCUACUGGUGAUCAUCCAGGCUGCGUCGGGUACAGCUGCACAAGGACCAGGAUCAAGUUGUCACUACAAGAAUGGAUGCAGUCCUUCUUCUCCCGACGUGUGUUCAGUGCCUCCUCCAGCUUGUCACACAGACUGGUCUGGAACGUUUUGUCAGAUACAUAACAUCGCAAAUGAUAACAUCGCACAUGGUAAACCUGCCAGUCAGAGCAGCACAUGGACAGACAAUACCGGUACAUAUAAUGCCAGUAGAGCUGUUGACGGGAAUGUCAGCACAGACUGGAACAGUGGUAGUUGUUCACAUACAGACGAACAGGGUGGUGGGAAUGCCAACUGGCAUAUUUUUCUUGGUGGGACGUACCUAAUCAGCCGGAUCACAAUCUAUCUCCGUAGUAACGCCAUUGACAAAUAUCAAGCAAUGGAAGUAUUGGUCAACAACAGGACAUGUCGAAAGCUACCUGUGACAGACAUCAGAGAUUCUCUAGCUCAUCUGAUAAGUAACCCUGUGACACUCAGCUGUAUACAACCUAUAGAGGGCGACACUGUAACCAUUGAAAUGGCGGGGCCUUGGUUGGCACUCUGUGAGGUGCAGGUGUUUGGCGAGAAGAAAGUGUCAUGCCACUGCUCUAAUGGCUGCUCAGAUUUCCCCAACACUCCAUGUUCAGCCCCUUCAACGGGCCCAGUUUGCAUACCACCAUGGUUCGGAAGCUUUUGCCAGAUGGAAAACAUUGCCUUUCAAAGGACAGCAACACAGAGUUGCAGUUAUAGUGGAGGCGGCAUCCCCUACUGUGCUGCGUAUGCUGUAGAUGGGAACACUGACACAGACUUCAGUCACAGGAGUUGUUCUAACACAAACAACGCAGGUGCCAGCUGGCAGGUUCUCCUUGAUGAUCAUCAGAUGUUCAACAUCAGCAGCAUCAGGAUCUACCUGCGAAGCGACCUUUGGGACCGCAACGAUGGCCUGCAGGUGCUUGUGAACGGCGACCCGUGUGUCCCUGUGAGUGGAACACCUGACUGGUUACAUGGACCUGUCACAAACCCUGUUGACGUCACAUGUACCCACGUAAUGAAGGGGAACAAUGUUACCAUCACCAGAAGCGGGACAUUUCUGGCAUUGUGCGAGGUUCAAGUUUUUAUUUGCGGUGAUGGAUGGUUUGGGGAGAACUGUGAGAGGCAGUGUCAGUGUCUAAAUACAUCUGAAGUAUGUGACAAGGAGACCGGAUAUUGCAGAAGUGGGUGUGCUGCUGGGAAACAAGGACAAGGGUGUCAGAACCCAGUUUGUAACGAUAGAUUCUUUGGCUCUAACUGUAGCCAGCAGUGCCAGUGUCUAGAUCUAUCUGAAGUAUGUGACAAGGAGACUGGCUACUGUAGGAGUGGAUGUGCUGCUGGGAAACAAGGACCAGGGUGUCAGCAACACUGUGACCAUGGUCACUACGGGGUCAGCUGUUCCUACACGUGUGGUCAGUGUACUGGGUCAUCUGAUUGUCAGAAGGUUAAUGGAACCUGCACACAGGGAUGUCAACAGGGUUACAGCCCCCCUUUGUGUAAAGUGUGCAGUGAUGGCUGGUUUGGCACCAACUGUAGUGAGCAGUGCAAGUGUCAGAAUGAAACAGAAGUAUGCGACAAGACCACAGGGAACUGUACAAGUGGCUGCCGUGCUGGGAAGACAGGGGUUGGAUGCCAGGAUGAUUGUGACCAGGGUCAGUAUGGGAUCAACUGUUCCUCCACGUGUGGUCAGUGUAGCGGGUCGCCCGACUGUGAUAAGGAUGAUGGAAAUUGCACACAGGGAUGCCAAACAGGUUACCUCCUUCCUUUGUGUAAAGACUGUGUAGAAGGACGCUACGGUGUUAAUUGUUCACAACAAUGUGGCUCGUGUAAAGAUGGCUCACCGUGCAAUACAACUUCUGGUGUCUGUGAGCUGGGAUGUGCAGAUAACUUUGAAGAACCACAUUGUGAAUUUUGCAAUGAUUGGUGGUUUGGCAACAACUGUAGUGAACAGUGCAAGUGUCAGAAUGAAACAGAAGUAUGCGACAAGACCACCGGGAACUGUACAAGUGGCUGCCGUGCUGGGAAGACAGGGGUUGGAUGCCAGGAUGAUUGUGUCCAGGGUCAGUAUGGGAUCAACUGUUCCUCCACGUGUGGUCAGUGUAGCGGGUCGUCCGACUGUAAGAAGGAUGAUGGACACUGCACACAGGGAUGCCAAACAGGUUACCCGCCCCCUUUGUGUAAAGACUGUGUAGAAGGACGCUACGGUGUUAACUGUUCACAACAAUGUGGCUCGUGUAAAGAUGACUCACCGUGCAAUACAACUACUGGUGUCUGUGUGCUGGGAUGUGCAGAUAACUUUGAAGAACCAUAUUGUGAAUUGUGCAGCGAUAGGUGGUUUGGGACUAACUGUAGUGAGCAGUGCAGGUGUCAAAAUACAACAGAAGUAUGCAACAAGACCACAGGGAACUGUACAAGUGGCUGCCGUGCUGGGAAGACAGGGGUUCGAUGCCAGGAUGAUUGUGGCCAGGGUCAGUAUGGGAUCAACUGUUCCUCCACGUGUGGUCUGUGUAGCGGGUCGUCCGACUGUAAUAAGGAUGAUGGACACUGCACACUGGGAUGUCAACAGGGUUACAGUUCCCCUUUGUGUAAAGAAUGCGUACAAGGGAGUUAUGGAACCAACUGCACCUCCCUCUGUGGUCACUGCAAGGAUGGACAAACGUGUAACAGCAUGACCGGCCAUUGUCAAAACGGAUGUCAAGUAGGAUAUGAAAAACCAUUCUGCUCUCAGGGAUGUUUCAACAAGACCUACGGUCAGGAUUGCAGUUCGUCCUGUGGUAGAUGUCUAAACUGGACAUGCAGUAACACAGACGGGACUUGUGUACAUGGAUGUGAGCCGGGAUUUGAGGGGGAUCUGUGCGUGACAGAAUCACAAACGGGCAACAAGGAAGGCGGCGCUCAGUCGUUGACUGGACUUAUUGUCGGUGUCGUUGUAGGGGUGCUUUCAGCUGCCGUCGUUGUCGCUGUGCUGGUUUAUAUACGACGAAGACGGAGUUUACAGAAAUCCCACACGGAAGACCAACCAGAGGAAGAUACAACUGAGAGUUCCUUCAGUGCCGUGUCCAGCGACAGGACAGCAUCCCCAUCCUCCAAAUCAGCGAAGCCGGUUAAGCCAUCAAAGAAACCAAGAUCCCCUGCAAACCACGUGUACGAGAACUCGGACACAUUAUAUAACGUCUCCCCAACCCCCGUACCCCUGGAGAGACUCAGACAGUACAUCGGACAAAGAGUGGGAGGUGCGGGAUUCGAACAAGAGUACAAGCUGCUACGUCAUGGACUGGCUAAAGAGCACAAGGAGGGUCUGAAACCUGAAAAUAAGAAGAGAAACAGAUUCCUGGCUCUGUUUCCAUAUGAUGAGAGCCGCGUUGUCCUGGCCCCUGAUGGAGACGCUACUUGCGACUACAUCCACGCCAGCUAUGUCCAGGGCUUCCACGAAGAAAAGGUUUUCAUAGCUGCUCAAGGUCCAAAUAGUGUAACCGUGAAUGACUUCUGGAGAAUGAUAUGGCAAGAAAACGUGUCACAGAUCGUCAUGCUGACCAGAGUAAUGGAAGUGAACAGGAAAAAGUGUGAGCAGUACUGGCCAGAUGGCACGAGGGAUAAGAAGUGUGGAAACAUUGUUAUCAAGCCACUCCUAUCAACUGUCAGGGCGGAUUUCACCAUCAGGAAAUUCCUGGUUCAGCACUCCAAGACGCCCUCAGACAAGAGGACAGUGACCCAGCUCCACUUCACGUCUUGGCCUGACCAUGAUGUUCCAUCAGCACCGGCUCUGGUUGGCUUCUGGAAGCAGUACAGGAGUCUGACGUCAUCAGAGGAGGAUAUUACUGGACCUGUGGUAAUCCACUGCAGUGCUGGCGUUGGCCGGACGGGAACGUUCAUUGCUCUGGACAACCUCUUUGAUGAAGCCGAGUCUCUGAACAAAGUGAACGUGUUCGCAUGUGUGUCCAAGUUGAGGGAAGCCAGGGUGAACAUGGUGCAGACUGUGGAACAGUACCGUUUUGUGCAUGAGUCUGUCAUGGAAGCCAUCGACAGUCGGGGAACUUUCUUCACCUUGUCCGACUUCGAGGGAAAGUUUGGUACCGGUCUGAAAUACUCCAGACAACAGGACAUAGAGAUGAACAGACAGUUUCAGUCUCUUGAAUCCGUGAAGAUGGAGAUCCCAGAGAAGCUGGUAUCUGAUGCUUAUCUUCCAGCAAAUGUUGGCAAAAACAGAAACAAGAAUAUUGUCCCCGCCAACAGAGGUCGGCCUUUUCUCUCAACUCCUGUCGCAGACCACAACGAUUACAUCAACGCCGUUAUACUUCCAUCGGCAACACAACCCUUGGGUUUGAUAGCAACCCAGACCCCGCUAAAAGAUACUGUUGUAGACUUCUGGAGGUUGGUCUUUGACCAUGACUGUUUCACCAUCGUCUGUCUGGAAGAUGAGGGGGAGAAUCAGGUAGGUAAUACAAGAACUACAACAACACACAUAUACAUGUGUUAGGCUCAUGCCAUAUAUCCAAGAAAGAAUGAGUCGUUGAACAUAGGACCGUUCCGCCUCACCACACUGAAGGAAGACACAUCACGAGACAGUUUCACUGAGAUGGAGCUUAACCUGGCUCUCAGAGAACAGGAUAACACACUCCACCAG